rnacentral:rRNA from 1 species
AUACGUAGGUGGCAAGCGUUGUCCGGAAUUACUGGGUGUAAAGGGAGCGUAGGCGGGAGUGCAAGUCAGAUGUGAAAUACAUGGGCUCAACCCAUGGGCUGCAUUUGAAACUGCAUUUCUUGAGUGAAGUAGAGGUAAGCGGAAUUCCUGGUGUAGCGGUGAAAUGCGUAGAUAUCAGGAGGAACACCGGUGGCGAAGGCGGCUUACUGGGCUUUUACUGACGCUGAGGCUCGAAAGCGUGGGGAGCAACCAGGAUUAGAUACCCUGGUAGUCCACGCUGUAAACGAUGAUUACUAGGUGUGGGGGGACUGACCCCUUCCGUGCCGCAGUUAACACAAUAAGUAAUCCACCUGGGGAGUACGGCCGCAAGGUUGAAACUCAAAGGAAUCGACGGGG